rnacentral:lncRNA from 10 species
GUAGAGACGGAAUUGGCGGCGGGGGCGGGGGGUCGAUGUCUCACUUUUUUGCCCAGGCUGGUCUCGAACUCCUGGCUUCAAGGGAUCCUCCUGCCUCGGCCUCUUAAAGUGCUGGGAUUACAGGCGUGAGCCACCGCCCCCGGCCGCCUCUGAGUUUCCAGCCUCGUUGGCCCUCCAGCCUUUUAACCUGUUGGGCCUAGGAUCAGGAAAGGUUUGUUGAAUGGGGAACUAAGAAGUGAAUUCGUUCGUUCGACAAACGUUUCCUGAGCAGCCGCUGGGUGCUAGGCGCAGUGCCAGCGCGGAAUGUCCAGGGAGACCUGGUGCCCAAAGCUUGGACCCAUCGUGAGAAAUGAGAAGCAGAUACAAAGCAGUGUGGGAGUGCAGAGGAGACAAAGCAAGCCUCAUCAGGCCCAUUGCUUGCUCUGCUCUCCCUUGUACUUACCAGUGCUUGACAAUAUACAGUUAUUUACUAGCUUGGUUAUUGACUUCCUACCCAGCACUCAGUUUUAUUCACUGCUGUAUCCUCAGUGCCUAGGACGAUGCUUGGAACGUGAUUCAUUGAUUCCAGGUAAAUCAGAGGAACAAGCAACAUGAACAGAAAUAUGUAGAAAAAGCUAUUAUGCAGAAGCAUAAUUGUUGUUUCAGAAGUCCAGCAUCUGGUGCACUUAACAAUAGAGAAUAUAUUAAACUCUUUCCAAAAUAACCUGUUGUUCCUACCUGUGUUGUAAGUGUUUUGUUUGUUUUUAAGUAAAUAUUGGUGAUUUGUUGCCAAAAACCUAAACUGUUUGUUGCUGUCAACUUAAAUAACGAACAGAGAGAGGCUCUCUAAAAGAAAAUGGCAUUUAUUCAGGAAUAGAGCACUGCAAUGAGAAAAUGCAUGCGAUAGUUAACUGUGUGUAUCCUGGGAGAUAGAGGAAGACAAAGGUCUUUAAAGGAAAAAUGAGGAGGGUUACAUAAUUGUUUUGAGAUAAUUAUUUUUGA